rnacentral:misc_RNA from 1 species
GAUGAAGAACGCAGCGAAAUGCGAUACUUGGUGUGAAUUGCAGAAUCCCGUGAACCAUCGAGUCUUUGAACGCAAGUUGCGCCCGAAGCCAUCAGGUUGAGGGCACGUCUGCCUGGGCGUCACAUAUCGUUGCCCAAUGCCUAUUGCAGUGCAAUAGGAAUUUCUAGGGCGAAUGAUGGCUUCCCGUGAGCGUUGUUGCCUCGCGGUUGGUUGAAAAUCGAGUCCUUGAUAGGGUGUGCCAUGGUAGAUGGUGGUCGAGUUAGAACGAUACCGAUCAUGUGCAUGCUCCCCAAAAUAUGGCCUCUAUGACCCACACGCGUCUUUUGACGCUCAUGACGAGACCUCAGGUCAGGCGGGGCUACCCGCUGAAUUUAAGCAUAUCAAUAAGCGGAGGA